UGCUGUAAGUCACUCCGGUCGGUUCGGUUGUCUUUUCGUGUGUCUCCCUGCAAGUCCAGGAUUGCCAGUGCCCAGAGUUCUAACAGUUUCAACCACUUUAAAUAUGUGAAGAAGCACUUGAAUGGAAACUGUUGCGUUUAAUUGCCCCCAAGUGUCCACCCGGAGAGUGGGCGAUGUGAUAGAAAGCAAAUUGAAAAUUUCUUCAACUAUAUUAGUGAAAGCAGAGAAGGAAACCAAACGUGAUGUGAAGUUCGUAUGGGACGAGAGAAAAGUGCCAGAAAGAAGGAUGUGAUAUUGUUCCCGGAAGCGAACCAAUUUAAGUGUCAACAACCCGUUCGCAAAGAGAUUCCCUAGGACAACUGGCGACCUGAUUGCUAUUUCCGAUACUCUCGACCGGAACCGAAAAAAAGGAUUAGAAGAAUGGGAAAAAGUGCUGCAAUCGACUGAUAUGGGUGUGUGAUGUGGAAGUGUACUUUCGCAAGUCAGCAGCAUCCCAAAAAAUACCUAGCUAGAGUGAACUGUGUGUGUUUGUCUGAAGAAAGUACCAGUUUGUGUUGUGUGGGCGCGCUUCGGGUGAUUUUUCAUUUACAUUCCUGUACGACUACGACGGCUAACAUCGGUGCCGGAAAAGUGUAAAAAGAAUCUAGAGAAGAACAAAAAACAAAGAGGCUGGCGGAAAAUCAAACGUCUGUUGGCUGUCUCCCCCAGAAGAAAAGACAAAGCAGCGGCCAAGAAAAACCGGCUGUUGGAGAGUUGGCACCUAUGAUUGAGGUGGAAAAGGAAGCCUACAGUCGAAAGAAAAGUGGAAAAUAGGAUGAUGCUGUCAAACAUGUUGGAUUUACGACCCGCGUUGGUGUUGACGCUUCUCACAACGAUAGAUUUCGUGAUCCCGCUGAAGGAUGUCCGCGUGAGCGUGCCGGCAGCCAUUCGCCGGGGUGAUAAUGCAAAUUUGAUCUGCGAUUACGACAUAGAAGGGGACACACUCUACUCCGUCAAGUGGUACAAAGGAAAGCGGGAAUUUUUCCGCUACCGGCCCAAGGAGAACCCAUCGCUGAAGACGUUUCCUGUGCUCGGAAUCACCGUUGAGCGUUCGCAGUCCAACGGAAGUCAUUUGACGCUGACCGCAGUGGAGCCAACGAUGUCCGGCCGGUACACUUGCGAAGUGUCCGCAGAUGCACCUUCCUUCCACACAAUGGUCGUAUCCAGCGAGAUGGAAGUUGUGAAUAUUCCCAUGAGCAAACCGCACAUAUCGGGACUGAAGCCGUACUACCGGAUAGGGGACCUGCUACUGGGAAACUGUACAUCUUACUAUUCGAAACCUGCGGCCAAUCUGACGUGGCUCGUCAAUGGCAAUGAGGUCAGUCCAAAACAGACGGUCCUGUACUCCGUCGUCCGGGAUCCCGACAAUGGUCUGGAAACGUCCAUCUUGGGGUUGUUCUUCCAGGUCACCAAUUACUAUGUGGGCCGCACGAAGCUAAAGUUCACAUGUGUUGCCAGAAUUUACAAUGUGUACGAGCAGCGCUCGGAACGGACACUUGAAGACGAGCGGCCCAACAUGCUGACAUCGGCGUCCGCAUCACCGGUGGGCCUCAACGUGAACCACAUUCACUCACUGUACGAACAAUUUCCGGCAUCUUCGUACCACCAUCACGACACCGGCGGUGAUUUCGACAAUCAAACAGCGAUGCCUACAUGACUCAGCUGCAAGACAUGUCAUCGGCAGCAUCCGGCAGUUUUAGCAGGACAAGCUGGCCACUGACCAGGCACCAAAUAGUACUGCUAGUACCAACAUUGCUGCUGUUGCUACUACUGCUCUUGCCGGCCAGUGUGAUUAUGCAAAUGACAUUCUCGUUGCUGUUGCUUGUGUCAUGUUCCAUCGUCAGGCAGAGCAUUAGCCGGGCUGCUUCUGUGGCCACCAGUUCCUCCAUCAUCCUCGGUGGACCAGAACCAAGCCAAUUCAGCACUUUCGCUGAAUCCUUCUCCUGAGAGUAGCCCGUUGUCCCCAUAGUCAUCAUCAUCAUCAUCCUCUACAUCACUAGUAUAGCAACAAUAAUUACUACAGCAACAGCAACAGGAUCAUCUAAACCGUUAUCGCCAGUGGAACAGCAAAACCACCAACACCACCCCCUUCAAUGUUCUGCGGCGGCCGAUGGACGACAACAUGGGAUCGAAAUUCAAUAAGAAGGACAAACAAGCGACAACUGAAGAGCCCUAAGUGGGAAAAGGUAUCCUCACAUCCCUAAGAAAAGAAAACUUCAUAUGAUGACAAACCACUGGUCUCUGCAGAAGCUUGAUAAACGGUGAAAACUAUGUGGGUUGCAGACGUUGAGAAGCCGUAUGAGUUGUACAUUUGGAAAUUUCGAAUACUUUGGCUACAUCGUAUGGCAAGUUAGGCAAAAAUGUUGCCAGCCGGAGACGAAACGAUGGUCAGGCACCGCGGCACUCGAACCUACAUGGGUAUCCAAACAUCCUUGUAUAGAUUGAUAAAUGCGCAACAUUCGUCGAUGCAUGUCAAGGGAAUAUCCAUUCAAACGAACGCCCCUACAUCAUGUAGAUUCGUUGGUCCAGCAGCAUCUCUCGAUUGUAUGAAUUGCCGAAAUUGUGUGAUUUGAUUGCCGACCAAACUCUAGGAAGGUGUGAAGCAACCGGAAGUCGAAUUCAACGGUGUGAUAAAAAUUCAAAUGUACCAAAGACAUGUUUUUUUUUCAUUUGCUUUUGAAAUGAUUCAACAUCAGGACUCCAAAGCGUCACACAAUGUAAGUUUUUUUCUGAUCAUUGUAACAAUUUCAAGUAUCAACAUUAUUAGUUGAGGCAAGCAAAUAAAAGCUGAGAAGAUGUAAAACAAUCUAAUUUAUUUCUAUCACUCCUCUGAAAAAUCUUCUCAAGAAAAAUCCUUCCGCUUGAAUAACCGAUAUUU